ensembl:lncRNA
GCUCAGGGCUGAUAUCCGCCGGUCGUGUAGCUGUCUCUUAAGCUCUCCAUCCUGCGGGAAAACACAAGGGGACAAUCACCACCUGCCACACGGACAUCCACCUAAACACACGGCAUCCACAUGCACGCUAAGCCGCCACGGAGCAGCAUUAGGCCGAUAAAGUUUCCCUCGCACAGCCGCCUCGGCGUUAGCUUGAGGAGCUAGCCGUGUAAUACAUGUACUUUAAAUACCUGUGGGUCCUGCUUCAUCUGGGCAACUAGUUCAGUAACUGCGGCCUUAUUACGCUAAAACAAAAGUCCCCUCAAGUUUUGUUAGUGUGAGGAAGGGAGGAACAAAGCGGAGGAGGUGGAGGAGGAGGAGGAGGUGGAGGCGACUCUUUGGCUCCUCAUAAAUAUUCAGGUCGCGUCCGGAUCGCCGCCACACCACCGCAUUAUUAGCCCGAGAAGAAAAGAGGGCUUCUUGUUGCACCGCGAACAACAACAACAAACAAACAAACAAACAAAGCCGUAGAGAUUCAGAGCACAAGUGGCGCGUGCUCGACGUUAUUAAGCGACAUCUUGUUUCUGCGGCUGCUUCUUUACGACCACCGGAGAACAACGACGGCUGGUUACCUGGUGACAUUGGAUCUCUACUUUCAGCGCCUCUUGCAGGCCUCGUACUUCCAUGUUUCCGGCCCGGCCACACAAAAAAAACUCACUUUUCUGACACUUUUUUCCGACGCCACCGACGCGAAGUUUUUUUUCCUUUUUUAAUCAGAAUAUAUAUUUUUUCUUAUUUCCAAAGCGACGAUAACAAUUGGAAGAACGAACUACUCGAGCUGACGGCAAAAAAAGCAAGUUCUCGCUUUUUUUUUUCGCAGGCUCGGGACUCAUCACCCCCACUUUCCGCCCGUCUGCGAAAAGUGCUCCAAACCCGGCGGAAAGAGCUCAGGCCCCGGCGGCUCUUCUCCAGAUUCGCGGCCAAACGUCGAGUGGUCCGACGGGGGAGCGGGGCUGCUUUCCCGUCGGUUAUUUUAAGUUGAAACACGGGGACUAUAUUCUGUCCGAGUCCGCGGCUUGAUUUCACUUUGCCUGGGGAAAAGUUGCGCUUCGGCUGUCAAUGGUAAUUCUGAGAGUUCCCGGAUGGAGCAGCGAGGGCAUGCGCAGUAGGGAGAAGCUACAACUACUUCAAGGAGCAUUUUAUAAAUGCGUGCCGCUAUUGGUCCCAGCCGAGCCAAUCAAGAGCUGCGAUGAUUGAGGGGCAGCGCGGGGAACCAACGGGAGCCCGGCGUCGGGAGGAGGGGGAGGAGGAUGUGAUCGGAAAGUUGAUGAGCGAGCAGAGAUGGCAGCUGGCCGAACCCCCACUGAGCGGAGACACCUUCACGCUGCACAGCAGGAAGCAAACCUCUACAGGGAAACCUGCAGGAACCAGAGUAGAUCCUUCAAGAGACAUGAUGAAUAGCUGAAUGUAAGAAGUGGACGUAGUCAUGGCGACGUAGAAACGUCCGAUUGACUCUAAAUAGACCAUAAUGCACUAAAUGAGCACAAUGUUGUGUUGAAGAAGACUUGAAACUAGAGACUAAACUCAUGUUUACAAUGUUUACUGAGGGAAUAAAUCCAGAG